CGGUAGCAGCAGAGAGCUUGCUCUCUGGCUGACGAGUGGCGGACGGGUGAGUAAGGCAUCGGGACCUGCCCUGUUGUGGGGGAUAACCCGGGGAAACCCGGACUAAUACCGCAUACGCCCUACGGGGGAAAGCGGGGGACUCUUCGGAGCCUCGCGCGGCAGGAUGGACCGAUGUACGAUUAGCUUGUUGGUGGGGUAACGGCCUACCAAGGCGACGAUCGUUAGCUGGUCUGAGAGGAUGAUCAGCCACACCGGGACUGAGACACGGCCCGGACUCCUACGGGAGGCAGCAGUGGGGAAUAUUGGACAAUGGGGGAAACCCUGAUCCAGCAAUGCCGCGUGUGUGAAGAAGGCCUUCGGGUUGUAAAGCACUUUUAUCGGGAACGAAACCUUGUCGGCCAAUACCCGGCAAGACUGACGGUACCCGAGGAAUAAGCACCGGCUAACUCCGUGCCAGCAGCCGCGGUAAUACGGAGGGUGCAAGCGUUAAUCGGAAUUACUGGGCGUAGAGGGUGCGUAGGUGGUGAGUUAAGUCUGAUGUGAAAGCCCCGGGCUCAACCUGGGAAUGGCAUUGGAAACUGGCUCGCUGGAGUGUGAUAGAGGAUGGCGGAAUUCCCGGUGUAGCGGUGAAAUGCGUAGAGAUCGGGAGGAACAUCAGUGGCGAAGGCGGCCAUCUGGAUCAACACUGACACUGAGGCACGAAAGCGUGGGGAGCAAACAGGAUUAUAUACCCUGGUAGUCCACGCCCUAAACGAUGCGAACUGGAUGUAGGUCUCAACUCGGAGAUCUGUGUCGAAGCCAACGCGUUUAGUUCGCCGCCUGGGG
rnacentral:rRNA from 1 species